GCUCAAGUGGCAGAGUGCUAGCCUUGAGCAAAAAGAAGCCAGGGAGACCUGAAACCGGAGUGGAGGGAGGAUCAGAGCUCAACUUGAGGAGAAGGAGUCGGAUAUUACAUUGAAAGUGGUUUGGAUAGAGAGUAGCCCAUGACAAGAACUUAGGUAACCAGUACUGGAGAA